GGUAUUUGGAGGCUGCAGGGUCCUGUAGACUGCAGUCACUCUCUGGGAUGAGGGAAGGGGUUUGGAGCUGGUGCACCCAGAAAAAGGGGGAGAGGGAAGGAGUGGUGAGGGCUGGAAGAGGAAAGCUCUGAGCUGCUGGAUAGAGGGUCCCUGGACUGGAACCUGGAGUACAGGCUGAGCGGGGGAGUAAGGCCCACUUGACAGAGGGAAGAGGGUUCGGCCAACCCAUUGCAGCAGCCUUGUUCGGCUGUUCUUCCCCAGGAGGACUGGAAAUCAAGUGAAGGCUGGAGCUGCCCUCCUCAUAGUAGACUGACUCCAGUAAGGGCCCCAAAUCCAGUUACUGGCGAAGAACUCUCAAGAGUUGGCAAUACUGCACCCCUCCACCCUCACUGGCCGGACUGUCGGGCCAGGGUGAGGGCUGCUGCUGCCCGCCAAGGCUAGCUAUGCGAUCCCCCGUUUCAGUUCCAGUUACAUACUCUUCUGUAUCAUCAUCCUAAAUAGCUGUUUGUAACAGACAAACCUUCAGUGCAUUCCGCUUCCUACAGAAAGGUUGCUCCAGCUGCAGAACAAGAGCCACAGUUAUAGAGUUCCUCAUUGGUAGGAAGCCUCACGAAUCUCUCCAAGUCGUGAACCAAGCAUCCUGAAGAAAGCCAGAGGAGACACCAGAACCUCCAUGAAAUGAGCAGGAGGAAAAUUUGAAGUUUAACUGGAGGCAGUAUUGUUAUAAUUACUACAUGUUGUGUUAUGAUUAAUGGGGUAGAUUCCUUUGGGAGAGGCAGCUUCUGGAACAACAGGCAGCCAAAUGAUGCUGAGCUAUUUCCUUGAGUGAACCUUGUGGAAAUGAGAUGCUUAUGUAUGACUAAAUAUCAGCCCAGAUUGGGAAUAAUGUGAUGGCUAAAUAAACAGCUAAUUUAAGCA